rnacentral:rRNA from 1 species
UACAGAGGUCCCAAGCGUUGUUCGGAUUCAUUGGGCGUAAAGGGUGCGUAGGCGGCGCGGUAAGUCGGGUGUGAAAUCCCCGGGCUCAACCUGGGAACUGCAUCCGAAACUGCCUUGCUAGAGUAUGGGAGAGGGAAGUGGAAUUUCCGGUGUAGCGGUGAAAUGCGUAGAUAUCGGAAGGAACAUCAGUGGCGAAGGCGACUUCCUGGACCAAUACUGACGCUCAGGUGCGAAAGCGUGGGGAGCAAACAGG